rnacentral:misc_RNA from 1 species
GGGGGAGCGCUUGGUGCCACCUUUUGCAUAUGAGAUACUAUUGCGAGUAACAUUCCCUGCAUCAUCAGCUAGAGUAAAGGCUACUGAGAGGUUUGAGGCAGUAUAUCCUAUCUUAAGAGAGGUGGCUUUGGCUGGCUCCACUGGAAGCAAAGCAAUGAAACAAGUAUCAUUGCAGAUACUAAGUUUCGCUAUUAAAGCAGCUGGAGAAAGCAAUCCCGAGUUAUCCAAGGAAGCAGCU